UGUCAAAUAUUUGUCAAGCAGCGCCCUCUGGUACUGCGUGGCAACCAGUUCGCUUUCUAUCUUCCUUUUGCAGGGAGUACGCCAUUGUUGGCGUUUGUGUUUUAACCCAAGAAAGAAAAUCUAAAAUCAUCCAAUAUGGUGAACUUCACGGUAGACGAAAUCCGUACCAUGAUGGACAAAAA